CUGGCUGGCUCCCAGCAUGUGCACGGAGGUGACUUUCAUACAGUACCCUUUUGUGAACCUUUGGCCUCAUGCUGGCUUCGGCUGGCUGAGGAUUUACACAAACUUGCAUGUAACAGAAAACCCUUGUUGUGCGCAAGCACUAAUGUACAACUUUCAACAACGGAUCUCUUGGCUCUCGCAUCGAUGAAGAACGCAGCGAAAUGCGAUAAGUAAUGUGAAUUGCAGAAUUCAGUGAAUCAUCGAAUCUUUGAACGCACCUUGCACCCUUUGGUAUUCCAAAGGGUAUGCUCGUUUGAGUGUCAUUGUACUCUCACACUCUGAUUCAGAGAAGUGGACUUGGGUGUUGCUGCUUUGCUGUGGCUCAUCUCAAAUAUGGUAGUGCAACUCAUGGUUGGAUAUAGUACAGCGUGAUAAGUAUCCUCGCUGGCACCUCAUGAAGAGGGUGUCCGAUUGGGAGCUCUGUGCUUCAAACUGUCCUGUCUGGGACAAUCUUUGACAACUUGACCUCAAAUCGAGUAGGACUACCCGCUGAACUUAAGCAUAUC
rnacentral:rRNA from 1 species